CUGAAUAACUAAAUUCUUUUAGUUUUUCAUACCCCAUUGUUAACUAUUCCUGUGUUGCUUCCACGAGGCCUGGCCUGUUUUUAGGCCCUUUGGCUUGUUGUGUUUACUCACGCUUGACAGAGAGUUGCCCGUGGUAAGACCAUUAAUUUAAACUUGUGAUAUACAUACUCUGUCUGAUAUCUUAUUGCAAAUUAAAUA
rnacentral:misc_RNA from 1 species